ensembl:lncRNA
AAGGACCCCAGCUGGUUUAAGCAGGAUGGAAUUGGUAAAACACAAAUAUUUGUAAGAAAAAUCUUGGGGAGGCCUGGGAACAGGAUCAGAGCUGAGGACAUGCAGAAUGGAUGUCAUUGAACCGCUGUGCCCCUCGUCCACUGCUGCUCUGGGGGCUUGAUCCUGUGGCGACUCCACCUCGUGUGCAGAGAAGACCCAGGGCCACUUUGCACCUCCUGGGUCACACAAAAGACCCUGUUUGCAAGGCAGGUAGAGCUCGGGCCCAGUCAUCGCCUUUGCAUGGAUUGGAGAGGCCAAGGUGGCCACCAGGGGGAGCGCCAGGCAAACCAGGUUGCAGAUGACUCAUCCAGAGGUGGACCAGCCUUAUUUCCAGACCCCGGUGCUGGCGUUGGUGCCAGAAGCCACAACCAGUGGCCCAAGUGCCCGGCGUGCAGCAGCCCCGCCGCUGACCUCCAGGCUGGCUCUCAAGAGGCCCACAGCAGCAAGCAUGCAGGGUGGAGUGGUCACCAGGAUCUGAAGCCUUUUCUCGAGUGGCUGCACCUUCAUUUAUCUCACUGGUCCAAACCUGAAGGGUCUGAGGGCUGUUCUGAUCUGUGCUAUUCAUCAGCAAGGCUACAGUGAGGCUGCUGGCACCUGGCGGUUCACUCCUUCGUUUCCUCAAUAAAUUCCUCUGCUGAAGCUGCACCCGAACCCAUUGCCUCUUGCCGCCACUGUUCCAGCCCAUGGUUUCUGGGGUAUUCCACCCUGUUAUCCCUUCUGUGGCUCUCAGGGUGCCCCUCGUCAGCUGCACCCCACAGGAAACACUCCCACGGCCAGCAGACACUUAGCAUGGACGCCCCAUGUUUCUUCUUUAGGUAAGAGGAAAUUCUCUCUGUGUGACGUGAUAUCAAUGGAUACAGGUCACGAUCCAUGUGUCCACACCCACAGGAGGUCAAUUCUGGGCUCUGAGCAGUGAUGACGUGUCCACGGAGCUUCAUCAAUUGUGACAGAUAUACCCACCGAAGGGGAUGUUGCUGGUGUCUGUGUGGGGGCAGGGGAUGCACAGGAAGUCCCUUACCUUCCCCCCACAUUUGCUGUGCCCC